ensembl:snoRNA
CUGGCCCUGAAUCAAGGCGGGCAGUUCCUGACGCUGUUGGUUUCAAGCAGGAGCCUAAAGAGAUGUCUUUCUAUGGUCUGUUGGCCAUUUCAGAACUUGGGCAGUGAAACAGUCAACUCAUUACAGAGAAACAGCU